rnacentral:rRNA from 1 species
AUUGAACGCUGGCGGCAGGCCUAACACAUGCAAGUCGAGCGGAUGAAGGGAGCUUGCUCCUGGAUUCAGCGGCGGACGGGUGAGUAAUGCCUAGGAAUCUGCCUGGUAGUGGGGGAUAACGUCCGGACACGGGCGCUAAUACCGCAUCCGUCCUGAUGGAGAAAGUGGGGGAUCUUCGUACCUCACGCUAUCAGAUGAGCCUAGGUCGGAUUAGCUAGUUGGUGGGGUAAAGGCCUACCAAGGCGACGAUCCGUAACUGGUCUGAGAGGAUGAUCAGUCACACUGGAACUGAGACACGGUCCAGACUCCUACGGGAGGCAGCAGUGGGGAAUAGUGGACAAUGGGCGAAAGACUGAUCCAGCCAGGCCGCGUGUGUGAAGAAGGUCUUCGGAUUGUAAAGCACGUUAAGUUGGGAGGAAGGGCAGUAAGUUAAUACCUUGCUGUUUUGACGUUACCAACAGAAUAAGCACCGGCUAACUUCGUG